rnacentral:rRNA from 1 species
AACGAACGCUGGCGGCAGGCUUAACACAUGCAAGUCGAACGCAUCCUUCGGGGCGAGUGGCAGACGGGUGAGUAACGCGCGGGAACGUGCCCUUCAGUUCGGGAUAACCCAGGGAAACUUGGGCCAAUACCGGAUACGUGCGAGAGCAGAAAGAUUUAUCGCUGAAGGAUCGGCCCGCGUCUGAUUAGCUAGUUGGUGGGGUAAUGGCCCACCAAGGCGACGAUCAGUAGCUGGUCUGAGAGGAUGAUCAGCCACAUUGGGACUGAGACACGGCCCAAGCUCCUACGGGAGGCAGCAGUGGGGAAUAUUGGACAAUGGGCGCAAGCCUGAUCCAGCCAUGCCGCGUGAGUGAUGAAGGCCUUAGGGUUGUAAAGCUCUUUCGUCCGGGACGAUAAUGACGGUACCGGAAGAAGAAGCACCGGCUAACUACGUGCCAGCCGCCGCGGUAA